CCCAAAACACCCUCUCUCUCUCUCUAGAAGCUCUCCCUCUCUCUAAAAGUGGAAUCAAGAGGAGGAUUGGUGGAGAUUUGGAGCUUGAAGGAGAAUCACCAUUGUUGUCUUCUUCCUUAGCUUGGAGAAGGAGCUUAGUAGAGGCCUACGAACGCGUUCGUGCACUCGGUUUGAGUAUUCGUCGAGCCUACGCGAAGAUAUUGAGGAAAUGGACUGUUAGAGCUUCGUUUCCGCCUGGAGGGCCGAUGAGGCAUCCAAAAAUUUUGAGAUAAAGAUCGUAGCAUCGUGGCAUCAAGUUAUAGACCUUUAAUUUUCGGAUUGCGGAUUGGUGGUCGUUCGGUGGUCGAGCGUGAGAUUGAGCCGAACCGGGCAGCGUGUGCCGCGGGAGGCCGAUUGCAAGUGACUACGAACAAUCGGAACGUUAAAAGGACCUAGCGAGAGCGUACCGACAGAGGACCGUGGUAAGGGCAUAGCGCCUUAGUAGCUAAUAGCUUCCUUAUGCAUUAGAGUAUCCUCCUGUACGUAGAGAUAUGAUGUAUUUGAGAGUUACUUAUAUAUUUGGAGAGCCAUUUUGUAUUAUGAGAAGAAUAUGUAUUCAUUUUGGAAGAUAAAAAUGUAAAUUAAUAAGUAAAGGUUAAA